GAUGAAGAACGCAGCGAAAUGCGAAAAGUAGUGUGAAUUGCAGAAUUCAGUGAAUCAUCGAAUCUUUGAACGCACAUUGCGCCCUUUGGUAUUCCAAAGGGCAUGCCUGUUCGAGCGUCAUUUGUACCCUCAAGCUUUGCUUGGUGUUGGGCGUCUUGUCUCUAGCUUUGCUGGAGACUCGCCUUAAAGUAAUUGGCAGCCGGCCUACUGGUUUCGGAGCGCAGCACAAGUCGCACUCUCUAUCAGCAAAGGUCUAGCAUCCAUUAAGCCUUUUUUUCAACUUUUGACCUCGGAUCAGGUAGGGAUACCCGCUGAACUUAAGCAUAUCAAUAAGCGGAGGA
rnacentral:misc_RNA from 1 species